GCUUGUCUCAAAGAUUAAGCCAUGCAUGUCUAAGUACAAGCCUCAGUAAGGUGAAACCGCGAAUGGCUCAUUAAAUCACACCUAAUCUACUGGAAAGUUACUAGUUACUUGGAUAACUGAGGUAAUUCUUGAGCUAAUACAUGCGUAAGAUCCUGACUAACGAAGGGACGUAUUUAUUAGAUACAACCGACCUCCUUCUGGAGCCUUUUGUCGACUCAUAGUAACUUCUCGAAUCGGAGGCUUGCCUCCGAUAGUUCAUUCAAAUUUCUGCCCUAUCAGCUUUCGACGGUAGUGUAGUGGACUACCGUGGCGUUAACGGGUAACGGAGAAUUAGGGUUCGAUUCCGGAGAGGGAGCCUGAGAAACGGCUACCACAUCCAAGGAAGGCAGCAGG
rnacentral:rRNA from 1 species